rnacentral:rRNA from 1 species
AACGCGAAGAACCUUACCUGGGCUCGAACGGCUUCUCAACGGUCGUGGAAACAUGGCUAUCCCGCAAGGGACCGGAGUCGAGGUGCUGCAUGGCUGUCGUCAGCUCGUGUCGUGAGAUGUUGGGUUAAGUCCCGCAACGAGCGCAACCCUUGUCCUGUGUUGCCACUCCGUAAGGAAGCACUCUCAGGAGACCGCCAGCGAUAAGUUGGAGGAAGGUGGGGAUGAUGUCAAGUCAUCAUGGCCUUUAUGUCCAGGGCUACACACGUGCUACAAUGGUCGGUACAAAGCGCUGCAAACCCGCGAGGGGGAGCUAAUCGCAAAAAGCCGGCCUCAGUUCGGAUUGCAGGCUGCAACUCGCCUGCAUGAAGCUGGAAUCGCUAGUAAUGCCGUAUCAGAAUGAUGGCGUGAAUACGUUCCCGGGCCUUGUACACACGGUACUA